GUGAACGCUGGCGGUAGGCCUAACACAUGCAAGUCGAACGGCAGCACAGUAAGAGCUUGCUCUUACGGGUGGCGAGUGGCGGACGGGUGAGGAAUACAUCGGAAUCUACUUUUUCGUGGGGGAUAACGUAGGGAAACUUACGCUAAUACCGCAUACGACCUACGGGUGAAAGCAGGGGAUCUUCGGACCUUGCGCGAUUGAAUGAGCCGAUGUCGGAUUAGCUAGUUGGCGGGGUAAAGGCCCACCAAGGCGGCGAUCCGUAGCUGGUCUGAGAGGAUGAUCAGCCACACUGGAACUGAGACACGGUCCAGACUCCUACGGGAGGCAGCAGUGGGGAAUAUUGGACAAUGGGCGCAAGCCUGAUCCAGCCAUACCGCGUGGGUGAAGAAGGCCUUCGGGUUGUAAAGCCCUUUUGUUGGGAAAGAAAAGCAGCAGGUUAAUACCCCGCUGUUCUGACGGUACCCAAAGAAUAAGCACCGGCUAACUUCGUG
rnacentral:rRNA from 1 species